rnacentral:tRNA from 1 species
GGAGGAUUGGGUGAGUGGUUUAAACCAACAGUUUACUAAACUGUCGACGGGUAAUUCUGUCCGUGAGUUCGAAUCUCACAUCCUCCGCCA